UACGAGGGGGGCAAAUGUUGUUCGGAAUCACUGGGCGUAAAGGGAGCGUAGGCGGGUUCUUAAGUAAGGUGUUUAAUCCCGGGGCCCAACCCCGGACCGGCACUUUAAACUGGGAAUCUUGAAUAGUGGAGAGGUCAGUGGAAUUGGGGGUGUAGCGGUGGAAUGCGUAGAGAUCCCCAAGAACACCAGUUGCGAAGGCGGCUCACUGGCCCGGUACUGACGCUGAGGUGCGAAAGCGUGGGGAGCAAACAGG
rnacentral:rRNA from 1 species